GAAAGCAGCAGCAGCAGCAGCAGCAGCAGCAGCAGCAGCAGCAGCAGCAGCACAUACAUUUAUUUCCCUUCAUGUGAAGAUCACACGAACUUCCAUUUGGAAAUGUGCUGUCACAGUAUAGGCUCAUUGAUGAAAAGCUAUUUCCUUCCUUCUUGUCAAGAGGAUGCAAUAUCUGGACUGGGUGGAGACCUAACUUUCCAGUUGGGUUGGGCCAAUGACCAUGGACUACCCUUAGGAAGGCUACUUGCCAGUCAUGGUGACCUGCACCUACCGCCCCAGUAGUUGGUGGAUGAAGGCAGGAGGAACAGGAAUUGACAGUCACCUUCACCUACAUAGCAAGUUCCAGACCAGCGUGGACUACAUGCAACACUUUCUCAAAAACCAAGCAAACAAUUAAGUGAAAACUUAAAAACCUGCUCUUGAAGUAAGAUGUCUCAUAUAUUUGGUUUCUUUGUGCUUCCUUUAUUGCUUUCUUUUAUUGUAGAAAGAGAAUAUUUUUCCUUCUAUUAUUAAUCCAUAGUAGUUGUAUAAAACAAUGAAUUUCAUGGUGACUUUUUCAUGCACAGACACGUCAUAUUUCAAUGUUGUGUGGUCCCAUUGCCCUUCUUUACUCUUUUCUCCACAGGCACCAAUGUACAAGUAAACAUACCUACAUAUAAACACGUACAUAAUGUAAAAGUAAUAAAAAUACAUCUUACUGCUA